GGACCAGGCCAGCGAGGUCUUCACCACUGAGGUUGAGGAGAAGGGAAGGAGCAGCGAGGCGGGUGCUACGAUUAGGUCGUCGACGUGGACAAGAAGCAGCGGGGACAGCGGUCCCGUCACAGUGGGGUGGACCGGCAUGGGAGAGGGACGAGGUCGGCAAGAGCGGGAAGGAUUUGUGCGGUUUUGUUCUUCCUUUUCCCUUUUGUUGCUUCUCGAUUUUAAAAGAUUCUUGUUUCCUAUGCUAAUGUUACAGGUGGGUUCUCUAUUGGUGUGGUUCUGGGGAUUGCAAGGCUUGUUCCAUCUGGUUUCAGGAGUGUGUGUUGCUCCUGUAAUUUUUCUCAGGUUGUCUCUCUUCUUCUUCUUGCUAUAUUUAGUUCAUUCUUUUGUUCGUACAACGGAUCUUGAGAUUUUCUUUUUUGUUGCUAAUCGUUUGAGCCAUGGGAGUUAGUGUACAGUUCUAUGUUUGCCUCCCAUGGUUCCUGAUUAGAGUUGGACAUGCUUGGUUGAAGUCAGAUACAUGUUUCCUGGUUGUGGAAUUAAACUUUGCUUAAUUGGAGAUACAAAUUAGCGUGCAGUCCUUCUGUGCCUUCUAAUUAGAUAGUUGGACUUCGUCAACUCCGCUGACUAUCUUGACUACAACGUACUACAACCCUGAUGCCCCCACUGGUUAUGUAGUAACAUGCUUCUAUGAGCGCUCCUUUCCAGGAUCUUGUUUACUCAAUGUUACCCGCUUUGUAUUACUCACCAAACUUGAUGGUUUGACUUCUAUAAGAUCCUUGAGGAAAAAACACAAGAUCUGUAUCCAUUCUUAUGCAUGAGAUAUUUUUUCUGAAGCAGGUUAUAUUCCCCUCUUAUAUUCUGCUCUUCCAUUGUGCCUGAUUCUAAUAUUUUUUUCUUGCAAUAUGAUAAUAUAUUUGUUUAUUUUCAUUUCUGAGGAUAAGGAAGCUCCUAUGCAUCAUAUGACUAUUUUGGCAAAGACGUAUAAAUUGGUUGACUUUGUGCGGGUUUGUGAUUUUGCUUAACAAAUAGCUUGUGUUGUACUUUUGGGUCUGCAGAGGAGCCCAAACUUGAUCUGCCCUUGCCCAAGCUUGCUGAGAAGAGUUCAUAGGGGCAGAAAAUAAAUAGGCAAGGUACAUGGUCAUCGAGUUCCAACUUUAUGCUAUUUUACAGUCUUCUGGUCAGUGUUAGUGGCGCAUGUUUUGUUAUUGCAUUUUGACUACAUGCCAACAGAGCUCUGUUCGAGUAAUGCUUCCGCUGCCUUAUCUGCUAUUCAGUUGCUAAGGAUCACACUAUGUGUAAAACUCAAAUCUUUUGGUACAAGUUAUUUAAGUUAAAGCAUCUAGAAUUAGAAAAGGUCAGAUGGCUUUAUAAUUCAGCACACCGACCGAUUUGUGAGUUCAUUGUUUUCUCUUCGGUCUUCCGUAAACGACACUGAUGGUUAAGUGCACUUCAAUUCUAAAGAUGGCCUGAAAAAAGGGGAAGAAAUAACCAGUGGGAGACAAUUUACAGGGUUGUAUAUUGAUCUUAUUUUAUUUUGCAGGGUAUUGGUGAAUGCAGAAUUGGUGGGAGCUAUGGUAAUGACCGCGUACAUUGCCGCGGGGAGGAACUUGUUGUCUCCCGGACACACAAAUUAUGUUGAACAAUCAAGACCUUGAAGGUUGGUUUCUACCUGAAGGUUGGUUUCAACAAGUGUUAUAAACUUGAGCUCCUUUCCUUGAGUUCAUGUGGUUUGGGUCGACUUUGUCCUUAAGAUAGACCCCAUGGUUGGAGCUCCACACGAUUGAACUGGUCCACUCUGGCAAGUGGUCUCGAUCUCUUGGAUACUUGGUACUAUGAAAACCACACACUGUAUUUUGGCCAUUUCCGUUGGCCGAGUGCUUACCUUGUACCACAAAUCAAUCGAUUCUGUAUCUGAAUUUUCCUACUCCAAUGGUAAGUCUGCACUACAAUGCGCUGUACAUCAACACUUUGUUAUUUAUCUAUCUCAGAGUAUACUUGUUGCUUCAUGUUAUACGCUUCCAUAAUUUAUUCUUAUUUUUGCUUCAGAUUUGAAUUAAAACUGAAUGUCCCCAACACCUCACUCUUUUAUUCAGGAAACUUAUUUAGAUUGGUUUACAGAAAUUCACGUAUAUAUAGGCAGCCUCACAGCUUAUGUAGGCAUGUUCUUAGUCUGAUUGUGGUCUUCAGAGGGUGUGAACGUAUGUAUAAGCAGUGUCAUUGUCAGAUAAUGCUUGCAUGGUAGACUUCCACAGGCCUGUAAAAGCUGCUGGAACAGCCCAUAUAGUUAUUAUGUUUGGAAUAUCUUUGCUUUUGUUGGUCCAUAUGGCAUACAUGCAAGGGCAGAGAUUUCGGAUGUGCUUACCUUGCCAAAAGAUCAUUGUUGGUAGGAUAGCUGUAUCAUUGCACUUGGCAUCUACCUUACUGUAUUAGGUUUCUCAAUGUUUCAUGAGGUUUUAUUUUGUGAGUUCUGGCACUCUUUGUUAUACAUGCGUGAAAACUGUUUUCAAACAUAUAUGACAUACAUUUAUUGUUACCAGUCUGCAAAAAGUUAGGAUCUCAUCAAAAGUGUUUGGCCUUCCAAACGCAAUUUACUCAACACACAAGGCAAGGACCGUUUGUGUCGAGGCGACUGUUUAGUUCUAUCCAUCUCAGUGCCAACUAAGCAAUGGACUUGCAAAGAAAUCAAUAUCCAUCUAUGUCUACCGGAAACUGGAAGAGGUUGAAGAUUGGUUGGCAAACGAAGAGGUUGAUUCUGCCUUAUCAUAUAGAUAGUUUUUCGUAGACAUGAUUCAUAGAGAUGAUUCUAUAUGAUGCAUGCGCUCUAAUUGACUACAUGUCUUAAUUACCAUCAGCUUGGUGACCAAAACAAUUUAUAUGAUGCAUUUAUGUCUAUGUAGCUUUGCUUAUCAUGAACUGAUCUCAAGCCUUUCUUUUGGCCUUUGAAACUACCUUGAAUGUAAUAUAUAAUGCCAUUUUUUAACAUCUUACCUAAAUAUCUAUUUCCUUAUGGUUCAAUUAUUUAAUGAUCGGUCUCUGAAGAUUCUAAUUUUCAUGGUUUAAAAACAUGCUUCACUCUCGCCCUUUGCGCCAUUGGCGCAACUGGUCACAGCUGAAGUAGCAGCGGCAACCAAGAGUAAGCAGCAAAAGCGAGCAGCAACAAGCUCUUGGCCUAACCAUGUUGGCCCGGACAAAAAUGGUCUCAGGAGGCAUCGCCACAACCAUCUCCAACGACGACCAGAAUGAGAAAAAACGACGUUGACAAAGAAAAGAAGGCACAAGAAGGCAGUGGCGGCUUCUCACCCUGUUGUUCGUGGAGAGUUCGGACGACACGGGGACGGAUGAUGGUGAAUUCAAGACGGCAGCAAUGGCAGUCAGUGUCGAGGAAGAAGUAGGAGAGACCCGCGAGUUUGAAUCCUUGGUUCAGAGGAGACACGAGCGGCGUUGCAGCGACAAUUGACGGACUAGAGGAAGGCGGCCUCGGUCCAAAAGUUUGAUGCAUGCUCGGUGUCCAAGAAUCGAAUCAGAACGACGAUCGGAGCUGAACAGAGUUAGGGAAACUACCUAGGAUCAAGGACUCACUGAAAAAUGAGGCGAUUCACGGCGGCGUCCAGCGGGCCUGCAUGUUGGACCCCGGGGCGUGGACGUCGAGCCGGACAAAGGGCUGGUGGAUCCCACCCAUUCCUACGGCUGGAGUUGCAGUGGUGAGUAGCGGCGUCCCCGACGAGCUCGACUAGGAGGAUUCAGGAGUAAGAGGAAAUGGAUUCAGGAGGGAGGUAGUGGAGUGGAGUAGGGGUAAAACUUGAAGGGGCACGGAGUUGCGGGCGCAUGUCCACGAGCUGGCGCUGCCAGCCUGACUGGUGGGUUCGCAAAAGGUUGAAAGAAAAAUAAAAAAAUUAAAAAAAAUUAAAAUGGCUGGAAUAUCUCUUCCUCCUCUACUCCAUCAUAAUCUACUCAGGAUUAAUUUCAAUGCUCAAAACAAAUCAGAAAUAUCUUGGAAAAUUUCACAUAUGCUUCUACUUACAUAAUAUAACUCUGUGAAAAUGUCCAAGACUUUUCAGGAGUAUUUGACUGUCCUUUUUCAGAUUUGAAUUCAAAUAUGCCCCGAGUUUGGGUUUGAACUGUAAGCCGGUGAUAUGAAAUUCUGAAAUUCAUUAAUCUUUUACUAGAGUUUGUAAAGAACACAUGACUCUAAGAUAUAGCAUGGAGUAUGACUUAGACAUGCCAAACUAUUUUAAAAAAUUGUUUGUAAAUAACUCUUGGUUUGGAUCAGUUUUUUGCGUCUUGGAAAACAUGUAUCAUCACGAACCAUCUAUCUAUCAUCAAUUCGUAUGUAUUUUCAUAUGUUUCAUUUUGUGUAUACAUAUUCUUUCAAUACAUGGCUUGCACUCGGCCUUUGCGCCAUUGGCGCAACGGGUCAUCUUCUGGACAAUUAUGUGGGGAAGGUGCAGCAAGCCGGCCCUCGCGUUGCAGUAGAGUGGAGCCGGCAAUUUUAUGAUCAGUCUCUAAAUAUUUCAACUUGCACAGUUUGAAUUAGCUUCACAUGGUAUAUAGUUUCAACAUAGGUAUUCCUUAAUUUUUCAUAUAAAAGGUUUAGAAUUAUUACCCUCAGUGCUAAAACUCAAAGUUACUAACAAAUGCAAAUGUUUGUGUUACAAAAGGUUUAGAAUCAUUUACCCUUGAUGCUCGAAUUUGGACCUUGCACCUUACUUGAGUAACAUAGAGCCAAAUGGCACAUUGUCCAAAUACACGUUCAAAAGACUUUGGGUUUGACAUGUUCUCUAUCCUUGAUCAAACAUAAAAUUACUAAAAAAGGCAAAUAUUUCUCAACACGAACAUGAUUUCAAAUGGGUCUCUGCGCCAUUUGGCGCACCGGGUCAUCUAGUAAUUUUAAGAUGAACUAGACCAUGAUGGCGCACGUUGCAGCGCCCUUCUAUUUUUUCUAUAGAAUGGUAGGAAUUUUCUUACAUGAAACAUUUAAGUUAAAUGUGUAUAAACUUUCUGCAAAUCAUGUUUGUAUAGUUACCCAAUAUUUCAUGGGUGAUAUGCAUGAGGUGCCCAUCUUGCUCAAGCCCAUCUCGAAAACAAAAGGUAGACAUAUUUAAACCGUAUAAAUGAACAGUUGGAAUUAAAAUGCCUUGCUCUUAGCAGGUUGCCACAUGGUAUGACUUACAUCCUAAUUAAUAGCAUAAAGCAAAGCACAUUCAAUUAAUCCCAAUAUACAACACAACUGUCAGACAAUCAUAACAUAUCCUACUUUUUAUAGAGUUAGGCUGGUUGUUGAUCUACCCCCCUUCGGGUUGGGUGAAAAUUAAUUCUGAUGGAUCGCUAUCUUCAGAUGGAAGAGCUGGAGCUGGCAUGGUGUUAUGAGAUGACACCGGACCUAUUUUUUUCCUUCUUGCAUAGAACUUUUCUCCUACCAGGAUGAUUUAGAAUCAGACUUAUGUGCUUGUAGGCAGGGCUUAUCAUUGGCCUUCAGAGGAGUGACCUUCCCGUGCUGAUUGAAGUGGUCUCU
rnacentral:lncRNA from 1 species